CCUACGGGCGGCAGCAGUGAGGAAUAUUGGUCAAUGGACGCAAGUCUGAACCAGCCAUGCCGCGUGAGUGAAGAAGUAUUUCGGUAUGUAAAGCUCUAUCAGCAGGGAAGAAGAAAGACGGUACCUGACUAAGAAGCCCCGGCUAACUACGUGCCAGCAGCCGCGGUAAUACGUAGGGGGCAAGCGUUAUCCGGAUUUACUGGGUGUAAAGGGAGCGUAGACGGCUGUGCAAGUCUGAAGUGAAAGCCCGUGGCUCAACCGCGGAACUGCUUUGGAAACUGUAUAGCUUGAGUACUGGAGAGGCAGGCGGAAUUCCUAGUGUAGCGGUGAAAUGCGUAGAUAUUAGGAGGAACACCAGUGGCGAAGGCGGCCUGCUGGACAGAAACUGACGUUGAGGCUCGAAAGCGUGGGGAGCAAACAGGAUUAGAUACCCCUGUAGUC
rnacentral:rRNA from 1 species